GAGAGGCAUCUCUUGAAUAUCAAAGGUGAGCCAGUACAGGAUGGACCCGCGUCUGAUUAGCUAGUUGGUAAGGUAACGGCUUACCAAGGCGACGAUCAGUAGCCGACCUGAGAGGGUGAUCGGCCACCUUGGAACUGAGACACGGUCCAAACUCCUACGGGAGGCAGCAGUGGGGAAUAUUGCACAAUGGGCGAAAGCCUGAUGCAGCAACGCCGCGUGAGUGAUGAAGGCCUUCGGGUCGUAAAACUCUGUCCU
rnacentral:rRNA from 1 species